AGACGGGACCCGCACAAGCGGUGGAUGAUGUGGUUUAAUUCGAUGCAACGCGAAAAACCUUACCCACCUUUGACAUGGCAGGAAUCCUGAAGAGAUUUGGGAGUGCCCGAAAGAGAACCUGCACACAGGUGCUGCAUGGCUGUCGUCAGCUCGUGUCGUGAGAUGUUGGGUUAAGUCCCGCAACGAGCGCAACCCUUAUCAUUAGUUGCUACGCAAGGGCACUCUAAUGAGACUGCCGGUGACAAACCGGAGAAGUGGGGAUGACGUCAAGUCCUCAUGGCCCUUAUGGGUAGGGCUUCACACGUCAUACAAUGGUCGGUACAGAGGGUUGCCAAGCCGCGAGGUGGAGCCAAUCCCAGAAAGCCGAUCGUAGUCCGGAUUGUUCUCUGCAACUCGAGAGCAUGAAGUCGGAAUCGCUAGUAAUCGCGGAUCAGCAUGUCGCGGUGAAUACGUUCCCGGGUCUU
rnacentral:rRNA from 1 species